GCGGACGUGGCGGAACGGCAGACGCUGCGGACUUAAACUCCGCUGGAGCAAUCCGUGCGGGUUCGAAUCCCGCCGUCCGCACCC
rnacentral:tRNA from 1 species